rnacentral:lncRNA from 1 species
GGUCGCUUGCCCUCAGCGUGGAGCCUGAACUCAACCCAGGUCCCCGGGCAUGUGCCCCUCACGUCAGUUUCCAGUUCUUUAAAUAUCCACAUAUCCCAGUAAUGUCCGAAUGUAGUAAAGAGCAGAGACUCCUUUUGUAUUCAAGGGGGAAAGAGUGUUUAAAAGUUAUUGUUAUUUCCUUUCAAUAGGCUGGAGGCAGACCAGAGUCUUGCAGAACUGGGAGAAAGCCAGCCCAGGAAGUGGGCCAAAGGAGACCACCAACAUUGCCCCUCCUUACAGCCAUUCCUUCAUUCAUUCAAUCAACAAACUUUCAUGAGCUUCAGCCCUGAGUACUGGGAAUUCAGUGACACCAGGUGCUGCCGCUGUUCCCCUCAGUCUCCUGCAACCCACCUGGCCUCAUCUGGCAGCAAGGAAUCACAGGCAUUGAUUGUCUUGGAAAUGAGGCAGCAUUUACACAAUCAAGGUUGACGGCCAGCGUGCAGAAAUAACCAGUUAAUUCAGUACAUUAAAAAACACAAAACGUACCCACAACACUGACCUCUGGUUGAUCUGUCUGGGACCACAGCACUGGCCACACUUAUUGAGCGCCUACAGUGUGACAACACUGUUCUGACGGUGGCCCCUGGGACUGGCUCGUGGUUUCCACCCUGGUUCCAAAGUUGGUUCUGCCUGGAGGCCUGAUGCAGGGUGUCAGGCUUGGUGGCCUCAACUGCAUCUCCGAAGAUGAGUAGGACGCAGCCCUGUGAGCUUGGUUACUUGGAAUUGCGUCUGAAGCAACAUGAGCAUCUUCUCCCCUGUGGCUCCUUUAACUCCAGCGAGGACGCCGAAGAGGCGGGGGUGCCAGACACGGCUGACGUCACGGGCAGCCCGAAAUGACAAAGCGGACGGGCCAAUCCCAAGUUCGGAUUCUGCGAGAAGCCAUCCGAUUGGACACGAGUGCGGGCGCCCUUGCCCAAUGGUGGAAGAGGGGCAGGAGCCCGGCGGCCGCGUGGGUUUUAAAUCCAUGUGGCGGCGAGAGGGCGGCGGUGGCUGCGCCUCGUGGGCUUGAGUUCGCUCCUUGGCUGGGGAGGCGUGCGUGGGGGCCGUCGUCCGCGCCGCUUACGGUCCUGGGCCGGUGGCUCCGCCUCGCCGCGCCUAUUUGCGUCAGCAGCAUCU